GAUGAACGCUGGCGGCGUGCCUAAUACAUGCAAGUCGAGCGAACGGACGCGAAGCUUGCUUCUCUGAUGUUAGCGGCGGACGGGUGAGUAACACGUGGAUACCCUACCUAUAAGACUGGGAUAACUUCGGGAAACCGGAGCUAAUACCGGAUAAUAUUUUGAACCGCAUGGUUCAAAAGUGAAAGACGGUCUUGCUGUCACUUAUCGAUGGAUCCGCGCUGCAUUAGCUAGUUGGUAAGGUAACGGCUUAUCAAGGCAACGAUGCAUAGCCGACCUGAUAGGGGGAUCGGCCACCCUAGAACUGAGACACGGUCCAGACUCCUACGGGAGGCAGCAGUAGGGAAUCUUCCGCAAUGGGCGAAAGCCUGACGGAGCAACGCCGCGUGAGUGAUGAAGGUCUUCGGAUCGUAAAACUCUGUUAUUAGGGAAGAACAUAUGUGUAAGUAACUGUGCACAUCUUGACGGUACCUAAUCAGAAAGCCACGGCUAACUACGUG
rnacentral:rRNA from 1 species